rnacentral:rRNA from 1 species
CAGAGGAGCCAAGCGUCGUCCGGAUUGACUGGGCGUAAAGCGCACGCAGGCGGUCGGGCGCGUGGGGUGUGAAAUCUGGCCGCUUAACGGCCAGGCGCCAUCCCAUACGGCUCGACUGGAGGGCUGCAGAGGUCGAUGGAAUUGCCGGUGUAGUGGUGAAAUGCGUAGAGAUCGGCAGGAACACCCAGGGGGAAACCAGUCGACUGGGCAGCACCUGACGCUGAGGUGCGAGAGCGUGGGGAGCGAACCGGAUUAGAUACCCGGGUAGUCCACGCCGUAAACGAUGGCCACUCGGCCUUUGGCGGCGGAACACCGUCGCUGGGGGCCUUAGCUAACGCGGGAAGUGGCCCGCCUGGGAACUACGAGCGCAAGCUUA